CUGUUUUCAUCAUGAAAGACUGAAGAAUUACCAUUGGCUCAUUUUAUAGGAAAGCAAGACCUCCAUGAAAUAGCAGAGUGCAUGAAAUCAUCAGUGUUUGCCCUGACAACAGUAGUAAGUAAAACAAGGACCACCAACUGGAUGACUUUCUCACCUGUGGGGUCGAUGUAUUGGAGGAACUGAGGAGACCAGUUAGAAAGGUGUUAUAGUGGUCAACUAUAUGAUCCAGCAAUCCCACUCCUGGGAAUAUAUCUGGAGAAAACCAUGGUUCGAAAGGAUACAUGCACCCCAGUGUUCAUUGCAUAGCUGUUUGCAAUAGCCAAGACAUGGAAGCAACUUAAAUGUCCAUCGACAGAGGAGCGGAUAAAGAAGAUGUGGUACAUAUAUACAAUGGAAUAUUACCCAGCCAUUAAAUAGAAUGAAAUAAUUCCAUUUGCAGCAACAUGGGUGGACCCAGAGAUUAUCAUACUAAGUGAAGUCAGCCAGACAAAGAUGAAUAUCAUAUGAUAUCACUUAUAUGCAGAAUCUAAAAAAGAAAAAAAAAAAAGUUACAAAUGAAUUUAUUUACAAAACAGAAACAGACUCAGACUCAGAGAACGAAUUUAUGGUUACCGGGGGGAAGGGUGGAGGGGAGGAGUAUAUUGGGAGUUUGGGAUUGACAUGCACACACUGCUGUAUUUAAAAUAAAAUGCCUUUCCAUGGGAAAAAAAAAAAAAAGUCAACUGAGAGAUGGUGGAUGCCUGAGCUAUGGCAGCAGCAAUAACAGCCAUGACCCAUCCCUAUGUACUAUCCCUAAGUGCCAUGUACUUAUAAUCUGAUGAGUCAGUAAUGCCUGAAAUUCUCA